AACGAACGCUGGCGGCGUGCCUAACACAUGCAAGUCGUGCGAGAAAGUUCCUUCGGGAGCGAGUAAAGCGGCGCACGGGUGAGUAACACGUAGGUAACCUGCCCCCCAGUCUGGAACAACUAGAGGAAACUCUAGCUAAUGCCGGAUGAGACCACGAUCCCUUCGGGGGUUGCGGCCAAAGAUGGCCUCUACUUGUAAGCUAUCGCUGAGGGAUGGGCCUGCGGGCCAUUAGCUUGUUGGUGAGGUAACGGCUCACCAAGGCUGUGAUGGCUAGCUGGUCUGAGAGGAUGACCAGCCACACUGGGACUGAGACACGGCCCAGACUCCUACGGGAGGCAGCAGUGGGGAAUAUUGCGCAAUGGGCGAAAGCCUGACGCAGCGACGCCGCGUGUGGGAUGACGGCC
rnacentral:rRNA from 1 species